CCUACGGGCGGCAGCAGUGGGGAAUAUUGGACAAUGGGCGAAAGCCUGAUCCAGCAAUGCCGCGUGAGUGAUGAAGGCCUUAGGGUUGUAAAGCUCUUUUACCAGGGAUGAUAAUGACAGUACCUGGAGAAUAAGCUCCGGCUAACUCCGUGCCAGCAGCCGCGGUAAUACGGAGGGAGCUAGCGUUGUUCGGAAUUACUGGGCGUAAAGCGCACGUAGGCGGCGAUUCAAGUCAGAGGUGAAAGCCCGGGGCUCAACCCCGGAACUGCCUUUGAAACUAGAUUGCUAGAAUCCUGGAGAGGUUAGUGGAAUUCCGAGUGUAGAGGUGAAAUUCGUAGAUAUUCGGAAGAACACCAGUGGCGAAGGCGACUAACUGGACAGGUAUUGACGCUGAGGUGCGAAAG
rnacentral:rRNA from 1 species